UACCAGCACCCCGAGUGGUCGGGACGUUUUAUUGGGCCUAAAGGCAUCCGUAGCCGGUUCUACAAGUCUUCCGUUAAAUCCACCUGCUCAACAGAUGGGCUGCGGAAGAUACUAGUGAGCUAGGAGGCGGGAGAGGCAAGCGGUACUCGAGUGGGUAGGGGUAAAAUCCGUUGAUCCAUUGAAGACCACCAGUGGCGAAGGCGG
rnacentral:rRNA from 1 species